UACGGGGGAUGCAAGCGUUAUCCGGAUUUAUUGGGUUUAAAGGGUGCGCAGGCGGAUUUUUAAGUCAGCGGUCAAAUCGUGGGGCUCAACCCCAUCCAGCCGUUGAAACUGGGGAUCUAGAGUGUGCGAGAGGUAUGCGGAAUGCGUGGUGUAGCGGUGAAAUGCAUAGAUAUCACGCAGAACUCCGAUUGCGAAGGCAGCAUACCGGCGCCCGACUGACGCUGAAGCACGAAAGCGUGGGGAGCAAACAGG
rnacentral:rRNA from 1 species